CAAACACAGGAUCAUUAAUUUAUUCAACACGUUCAUGGUUCAUGUUGUAAAUGAUGCUUUUCUUUACAUAAACACAAAGUUUGUGUUAAAAAGAAGAAAAGAAAAAAAAAAAAGAAGUGUGUAUUACAUUCAACUAAAAAUCUGAAUCAAGUCAAGUCCUGAACAUCACAUCCCCACUUUGGGAUGAGAAAAGAAAAAUGGAAAAUUUGAUUAAAUAAAUAAAUAACAAUAAUUAUUCCAAACGAGCACCUGUUAGGCUACAGCUUUACUCCAUACUGAGGCAAUGACUAAUAUUUUAUAUAUAUAUAUUUUAAUACAAUUAUAAUAUAAAACAUCAGGUAAGAUAAUAUACUGCAUCCAUACUGCAACUCCCAACACAGUUUUCCUCAUUUUUGUCUCGUUUUUUGGGGGGAUUUUCUUUCCAAAACUUCAACACUGGACAUGUUUUUUUGUUCUAGAGUUCAUGUGGAAACUUUAUUUUGGGGUUUUAAUAUCAUUCAGGGUUCUUUUAAACAUUUCUAAGCGUGUUCAGAAAGAAGACGAAGCAGCAGCACAGUGUCCGUGGAAGGAAAUGGAAGAAAUUUGUCUUUGGGUUUUAUGAAGAAAAUGCAGAAAAAAAGACAGUUGCUGGUUAUUUAGGAGUUUUGUGCGACUUAAGCAACAAGAACCCACUUUGUUUUCCUCCCGAACACACCUUUAGCACAAGUUUUCUGUUUUAAAACGACGGUGGCUGCACUGCUAUUUACAAAACGCAGUUAAAUCGAUUUAAUUUCAGUGCAAGUCUGAGAAAACUGCUCCUUUUUUUUAGGCUUUUAUUAUCUGCAAAUGCUCCUCUACCUCCAAGAAAACUCCUCUUUUGUGUGUGUAGCUUCCAUCUCGUGAUUAAAAAAAUUAUGAAACACGUUAAAAGAAAAAUAAAGUGGGGACACCUGCUCUCAUAAACUCUAUACAUCAAUCAACUGUGAGCACAUCAACCCCCGAAAAUUCGACUGAUUUAAAAAAAAAAAAAAGAAGAAGUCAAAUCUGUGAUGCUUUUUCUAAAUUACGAGUUUUACAUUUGAUCUAAACCCACUUGUUCCACCUCAAAAAAGGGCAAAAAUCAAAACACAUACAAAAGGUACGCGAUGCAUCGAUGACUUAUUGCUUCAAACAUUUGUUCUUCUAGUCGCUCAAACUCGACGGGAAUCUUAGCGGACGGCUCGUAUCGUCGGACUCGACGUUUGCACCCUGAGUCCACCGAUUAAACACGACGGUGUCAAAACAAUGAAUAGUGCAUUUACACAGUGGCAACACUCCGGAGGCCAGAGUCGACGACAGCGAGCUGAAAAAUCAGCAUCUUUCUUCGUCCGAGUCACUAAAAAAACAACCGAUGGUGGUUGGCGAUGACGGACUGACUCGCCGUCGACUCUCCUCCUCCUUUAGGUAGACUUCUCAUUUUCAAAGACAGCAGCUUAAACAACGCAGUGCAACACUUUAACUCCUGCAGCCAAAGACGACAACAUACUAACGACACGCUAAGACGCUCGGCUGCUGAACCUCGUGACGUCUUGUGGAAGAUGUAAACCUACGUAUACGCUUCUUUGCUGACGAUCGUAUCGGGCUUUUUUUUCAUGACAAGGUUUUCUUUUACAGGAUCUCUCGAGUGCAUUUGACAAGUUUUUCUAAACACGACUGUCGUGUCAUUUAUGUGACUGAACGGCAGAAACGUUUUCCUCUUAAUGAAUAAACGUGUUCACGAAACGACGGUGAGUGUGUGAGAAUAGAAACAAAUCUAACAACUGCUGAAUAGUUUGAGUAAUUUAUUAGUUAUGGAGGUUUAGAUUUUGAAGAAAAAUACAAUAAAAAUCUGCAGUUUUAGCUUCUUGAAUGUGAGGAUUUGCUGUUUUUUGUCUGGUUUUAUAUUAUUGUAAAAUAAAUCGGACAAGCCUUGCAGUUUAGAAGGUGAAUGCUUUUCUGUUUUAUCACCAAAAAAAAAAAAAAAAAAUUGAUCAUUAGGUUUUGAUUUAACACAAACAUUUGAGCAAUGGGGGAUCGUUUUACUGACUUUAAAACUGCAGAAAAUAAAAUUAACCAGAAAAAUAACCAAAAUAUUUAGCAGUGAUUGCAAAAAUCAAUUACUAGAAAGAAUAAGUUGUCCUUUUUUUUCUGCUAGAUCCCUUGUCUUCUAGGAAGUAAGUCAACAAACAGAGCUGCUUUUUUAAAAAACAAAACUGGAGUUUUGCUUUUGGGAAAAUCUUUCAACCCAGAUUAUUGUCUCAAUUUGUCAUUCAACAUAUAAAAUGUUGGGAAAUUGUGAAAAAUGUCCAUCAUAGCUUACAAAUGAUGGUAAAAAACCAAAGAGUCAGUUUACUACAGUGCAACAGGAGGAAAAUGAGCAAAUCCUCACAUGAGAGAAGCUGGAACUUGUGAUUUUUGGGGCUCAAAAACUCAACUAUUGUACAGUUGUCAGUUUUCUGCAGGUUGAUUUUUGGACCACUUAGGGUUUAGGCAGUUGAAGUAAAUAAAUCUCCAGGUAAAAA